GACGAACGCUGGCGGCGUGCUUAACACAUGCAAGUCGAACGGUAAGGCCCCAGCUUGCUGGGGUACACGAGUGGCGAACGGGUGAGUAACACGUGGGUGACCUGCCCCGCACUUCGGGAUAAGCCUGGGAAACUGGGUCUAAUACCGGAUAGGACCGCACCGUGAGGGUGUGGUGGAAAGUUUUUCGGUGUGGGAUGGGCCCGCGGCCUAUCAGCUUGUUGGUGGGGUAAUGGCCUACCAAGGCGGCGACGGGUAGCCGGCCUGAGAGGGUGGACGGCCACAUUGGGACUGAGACACGGCCCAGACUCCUACGGGAGGCAGCAGUGGGGAAUAUUGCACAAUGGGCGGAAGCCUGAUGCAGCGACGCCGCGUGGGGGAUGACGGCCUUCGGGUGGUAAACUCCUUUCACCAUCGACGAAGGUUUUCUGACGGUAGAUGGAGAAGAAGCACCGGCUAACUACGU
rnacentral:rRNA from 1 species